GAAAAACCCUUGAAUGAGUAGGUGUUCUAAAACCCUUGAAUGAGUAGGUGUUCUAAAACCCUUGAAUGAGUAGGUGUUCUAAAACCCUUGAAUGAGUAGGUGUUCUAAAACCCUGGAAUGAGUAGGUGUUCUAAAACCCUGGAAUGAGUAGGUGUUCUAAAACCCUUGAAUGAGUAGGUGUUCUAAAACCCUUGAAUGAGUAGGUGUUCUAAAACCCUUGAAUGAGUAGGUGUUCUAAAACCCUUGAAUGAGUAGGUGUUCUAAAACCCUUGAAUGAGUAGGUGUUCUAAAACCCUGGAAUGAGUAGGUGUUCUAAAACCCUGGAAUGAGUAGGUGUUCUAAAACCCUUGAAUGAGUAGGUGUUCUAAAACCCUUGACUGAGUAGGUGUUCUAAAACCCUUGAAUGAGUAGGUGUUCUAAAACCCUUGAAUGAGUAGGUGUUCUAAAACCCUUGAAUGAGUAGGUGUUCUAAAACCCUGGACUGAGUAGGUGUUCUAAAACGUUUGACCCGUAGCGUAUUUGAUUAGAUAUUCUUUUAGA